UAGAACCCGAAACGCAAAAUCAACCCAACAAAACCCUUGCCGCCCCCCAAAACCCCCACUGCAGCUUAAAAUGAAAUUUUGAAAAAGAAAAUUUGCCCUCCCUUUUGGCCGCGCCCUCCCUGUUGGCCGUCAUCGCCUCCCCCCUCACGUUCGUGCCCUCCCUGUUGGCCCUCGCCGCCUUCCCCCUCAUGCUCGCACCCUCCCUGUUGGCCGUCGCCGCCUCCUAAAUCAAAAAAACUUGUUCCCAUUCCCCAAAUUUUUAACACCGUCGUCGCCCCCUCUCCGACAUCGCCGACAAAAUCGCCAUCCCUCUCUCUCAUUCCCGUUUCCUCUAAAUCAAGUCGUCCUCCUACCCUAAUUUCAGCUACUCCCGCUCGCCGAAAUCAAGUCCUCCUCCUGCCCUAAUUUCAGCUACUCCCGCUCGUUGAAAUCAAGUGCUCCUCCGGCCCAUUCCGUCGUCUAUUCACGUUGCCGCUGACACUUUUCUCCGUCGGAUCCAAACUCAUCAUCAGAUCGAUACUCGAAGACGCGACAAGAAGAAGCUCCUGUGGCAGCGACGACAGGCGGCGUACGAACGCCGUGGCCUCAGCUGGAUCCUGGCGAAUGCUGAGCCGUCGUCGAGCAUCGUUCUUGAUUUCGACGAGGUGUUCAAUGAUUGGGAACCGCUUCAUCAUGUGCUAUACAAAUCAGGGUUUCACACUUGGGAGUAUAGGUGUGCUUUUACUUUUUUUUCCCAUUUUAUUUUUAGGGUUUUGUGCUUCAUUUUCUUAGUUUCUGUUUGAUUUGUUCUGGGGCAUAUAUAACUAACAGUAGCAGUUUGAAUGCUCGUUUAUGGGAUGACUGUUAGGGCUAUAUAGUCCCACAUUGACCAUACAGACUAUGAGUUGUUUGAAUGUUUAGAGGUUCUCUUCUUACAACUAGCUUUUAGGCAUGAGUUCUCCGAGGCUGGCAAAAUGGUAUCGGAGCAACCUGUGAACAUGAUUCUUUUCCUCCCGUGGCCGCGCUCCACACUUGAUUGAUAUUGUUUAUACUUAUAGUGGGGUUAAUUGGUGGGGUUCGAUUGUGUUGACGACGAUUGUGUGGUAGGAGGGGGACGGGGUUGGGCGAGGUUGAGGAAGGAGGAGGAGGAAGAGGAGGGGAAUUUUGAGCUUCAAUCUGCUUUAUCAAUCUCAGAUUAUGCGAAGGAGGAGGGCUACUAGAUCGAAUUUUAGCCAAGAAAGAUAGUCGUUAUACUGAAAAUGAUGCUGCGAUAGUUGUCCGCCAAAUGUUUAAAGUGGCAGCUGAGUGUCACUUGCAUGGUUUGGUGCAUCGAGACAUGAAGCCAGAGAUUAUUGACGGGGUCCAUAUUGGCACACGAGAUGAUGCAUGCUUGGCUGUGGCUUAAAGGUUAUCCAUGCAAGAUUAGGAGAGGUGGGGUAGCUCGAGUC